AUACGGAGGGUGCAAGCGUUAUUCGGAAUCACUGGGCGUAAAGGACGCGUAGGCGGGUCGGCAAGUCAGAUGUGAAAUCCUACAGCUUAACUGUAGAACUGCAUUUGAAACUGCUAACCUAGAGUAUGGGAGGGGGAGAUGGAAUUAGUGGUGUAGGGGUAAAAUCCGUAGAUAUCACUAGGAAUACCGAAAGCGAAGGCGAUCUCCUGGAACAUAACUGACGCUAAGGCGUGAAAGCGUGGGGAGCAAACAGGAUUAGAAACCCCUGUAGUCC
rnacentral:rRNA from 1 species